rnacentral:snRNA from 1 species
GGACGUGUCUGUCUGUGACAUCUGUAACCCCAUUGAUCACCAAGGUUGAUUCGGCUGAUCUGGCUGGCAAGACAGGUGUCCCCUUCCUUCCUGACCACUCCAUGUGUAUCCCUCCGAAAGCUGCAUGCUCCAUCAAAGAGGACAACCUUCCCUGAAUAGAGGAAGACUAGUCUUCAGUCAAGGGUAUACGAGUAGCUGUGCUCCCCUGCUAGAACCUCCAAACAGGCUCUCAAAUUGUCCUCUGAAUACUUAUGGACAUAUNNNNNNNNNNN